rnacentral:rRNA from 1 species
CCUACGGGCGGCAGCAGUGGGGAAUAUUGCACAAUGGGCGCAAGCCUGAUGCAGCCAUGCCGCGUGUGUGAAGAAGGCCUUCGGGUUGUAAAGCACUUUCAGCGGGGAGGAAGGCGUUAAGGUUAAUAACCUUGUCGAUUGACGUUACCCGCAGAAGAAGCACCGGCUAACUCCGUGCCAGCAGCCGCGGUAAUACGGAGGGUGCAAGCGUUAAUCGGAAUUACUGGGCGUAAAGCGCACGCAGGCGGUCUGUCAAGUCGGAUGUGAAAUCCCCGGGCUCAACCUGGGAACUGCAUUCGAAACUGGCAGGCUAGAGUCUUGUAGAGGGGGGUAGAAUUCCAGGUGUAGCGGUGAAAUGCGUAGAGAUCUGGAGGAAUACCGGUGGCGAAGGCGGCCCCCUGGACAAAGACUGGCGCUCAGGUGCGAAAGCGUGGGGAGCAAACAGGAUUAGAUACCCGUGUAGUC